GGACCGCCUGCCCAGCUGUUUGGGGUGCAGAGGAGCUGGGAAGCAAGCAGAGACAAGUGGACCACAGGGAGAGAGAGAAAAGAUAAACUAUCAAGGCGGGGUAGGGGUUGGCGAGAAGAGAGAUCAGUUCCUAACAGCUUUCCUGUUCCUGUUUUCAAUCCUCUGGAGAGAUCUGGAUGCAUUCUCUGGCGGAGUCUGGCCUGUUCUUCAUGAAACAAUAUCGUGGUUUUUUUUUUUUUUUUUUUUCCCUCCUGCUGAUUUGGUUGGGUUUCUGAGGUCCCUGGACAAGGACACUUGGCUCUGGUAUUCCAGCAUAAAGUCUGGCUGCGCUCCCCUAGUGCCUUUGGAAAAGGAGAGAGGGUGCAAUGAGGGCGUGCUCGGGUGGGGGGGAUUGCACUGCAGCAGUGGGGUCCCCCCCGCCCCCAGGCCCUUCCCCUGCUGCCUGGAGUUUUAGCUCUGAAUACAGCCCAGAGCUUGCGAGCUGUUGGUUAGUGGGGGUGUUAAUGGAGUCCUUUAAAAAGGGAAGCAUGACACCGCGAAUGAUGACAUCCGAACGUCAACAAUACAAAAUUAAGCCUGUGGAAAAUUUCAAUUAUGAUAGCUAACACAGGAAAUUGCAUUUAUGUAUGGAAACUAAAUUUAGAAGCCUGGACAGAUUGACAGGAUCCUUACUAAAUCCAUGUAAAUAGCCCAUGCCAGGUGCCAGGAAGUAACUGCAGGAGCAGGACCAGCGAGGCCCCUUGGCUGUCCUCUAAAAUCUGAAGGGAGGAAAAAAAGGGGGGGGGCUUUUCUGUAAGCCUAGUUAAUUUUUCAGAAGUCUCAUCUUCCAGGUUAAGAGGGAAUUAACAGUUUUUCUGAAAGAAUGCUUUCCAAAACUGUUGCUAUUCUCUCCCUGUAAACAAGGAAAGGGUGUGGUCAGGACUUGGAUCUGCUCUGGGCCUGUUGCUGGAGCGGAGCUGGCGGCCAGAGGCAGAGGCCUGGGAAAGGGGAGUGUGAGAGUGGGUGAGGGGAGGUCUCAGGCUCCUUCCCCUCAUCCACUGCACCCUUUAGGGUUCCCUCCUUCCCGUGGUGUUCCUCUACCACUUCAAGUCCCAGGGACAUGCAAACUGGCAUCAGAAGCAGAGGAAUGACAUCAAUGGUGGUUUGGUAGGGCAAGGAUGUUGCAGUCAAGCAGACAGGUUGAAAGUCCUGGUACUACUAGGGGGGCUGCUCUCAGACCCUGACCGAAGGGCAUCUGCCCUGGGCUAUGAGGUCUAGAGGGUCCUAUUAGGGCCCUCCUCCUGGCAUGCUUCAUCCUGUGGAGGCAAGAGUCCAUAGGUCAAAGGAAUAUGCCCACC
rnacentral:lncRNA from 1 species